rnacentral:lncRNA from 1 species
CCUUGAUUCAGAGCACAGAUAACAAUCACUGUACUUGUUCACUUACAAAAAUAGCUCGCUUGUCAGAGCUGCACAGGGACUGGUGCCAGGGAAAUUCCGUGAGCGGAGGAACGGUUCAGAGAACUGUCUUUGGGUUUCAAGAGCUUCAUGGUCAUAGUUAUCUCAAGUUCACACCCAUCCCCUGGAGUGAUUUCUCUGAAGUUACUGGUGAGAAAUGCAGCUCUGAGAACACGCCACCUCCACACCGCCUCCACACCACCUCCACCCACUCUGGCCAUGCAGGAUCCGCCCCCUCUUCAGUAUCUUUGCUACAACUUCUGCUCUGUUUCACACAGCAGAAACAGCCAUGAGGCAGCUCUCAGUACCUUAGUAGGACCGGUGAUGCCUUUUUUUUUUUUUCCUUAGUCAUAUCUCCAAGCAGAGCAUCAUCACCAGCUUCUGAAUUGGCUUUGACGAACGUUCUUAGCUGUCAAGGAUCCUUUUAACUGUCACUUUGGGCAAGGUUAUGUUAUUGCAGACAUUUUGCAUAUUUAACAAAAAUAAUUUCUAUAGCAGUUUUUUAAAAAAAAUUUAUUGGAUUUGAUGUGUCCAAAGCUGGAAUAUGAUGAACCCAACCAAACCACCUCCUAGAAAGAUGGCUUCUUCAAAAGCAGCUGGGCAGCACUGAAUGCAUCUGGAACUCUUUCCUCUCAUUCAUUCCACCCCACAUGUUCCACCAGUCUUCAGCAUGGCUGUUGCAUCUGAUUGUUUUAUAGUACUCAAUUCUUCCUCUUCGUACUCACUGACAGUAACCUUCCUUGAUUAUGAUUUUCAAUUUGUGACUGAUCACCUUUUCCUUUCAAGAGCAGAGACUCAUCUUUGACCUCAAUGACUUCUCCUUUUCUGAGGCUGAACAUCUUCAAGAUUUAGGGUCAACUCCUCCUCUCUAAACACCUGCAAAAGCAUUUAAAAAUGAGUCAGUUCCAGGGCUUAGUUUUCCUUUAUUAUACCAAAUUUAUUCAUAAUACAUUAUGCAGGUGUUUUGAUGAGAAUCCAGAAACAUCUUGAGACACCAUAUUUCUCUGAAAUGUGAGAAUUUAAAACCAUCGCUGUUCCAGGACAAGUCUUGUGGAUAGAGCUUUUUAUUGCAUUCAUUUGCAUUAUUGUGUUCCCUUCUCAGAACUCCUGUCAAUUAACAACAGCUUGAUCUUGCAGUUGAGAUAGCAGAACCCAGAGAAAAUUCACCCCAAGUCACACACUUGCAAGAUGGUGGAGCCAGGACUAGACCCAGUGUUCUUUCUGCUAGAUCAUUCUGCCUUUUCAGAAUUAAGGACAGAUCAGACAAUACGCUUAUUCCUGAUCGGGCAUAUGACAGGUUCGAGCUGGAGGGGACCCCUCUCUAUACCUAUUUCAACUCCACCUUCCU